rnacentral:tRNA from 1 species
GGGCGAGUGGCGAAAUUGGCUAAACGCACACGGCUUAGGACCGUGCUCCGAAAGGAACUGUGGGUUCAAAUCCCACCUCGCCCA